rnacentral:lncRNA from 1 species
GGAACUGUCCUCCAGAAAAAUUGAGACAGUAGUAGAUACUUCACACGAGUGUAAUGUUGUCUUAUUAAAUCCCCAUAAACAUAUAUGGUUUCUUUCUGCAUGAGAUAUGCCUAGGAUACUCUUUUGGGGAAGACAAGAGGCAGACAAUAAAUGAAGAGAUCGGAAUAUAGAUUGAAAGUGUGGAUGACUUUUGUACUUUUUCAAGAUCAGUUUCUACUGAAACAAUCUAUGGAUGGACAGCUCAGAUUUACAAAGCUUCGUAAAAACUGGCAUUCUAUCUCCGAAGACAGAGAAUAGUACCGACAAUCGCUGCAGCCCAUUCGGAUGUGCGGGCUCAUGCCUUAAACGCGGUGCUCUAGCCUUCGGUUAUAUACCCACUAGCUCGAUAAUCGCUGAUUCAAGCCCUGAGGAGUGAAUAUUUGCAGCUUUAAGGAUCGGCCUCUCCCAGGUUUUCUGGACCCAGGCUCCUUCGAGGAGAAUCACUCUAGGGAGCUUCUGGAAAUCCUGCCGCCCUUCCUCUGACACUUCUCUUUGAAUCCCAGCCACCGUUUCUG